UUUCCCCCUCUGUCGUCUCUCUCACUCCACGCACAGAGAGUUUUCACUCCAUUCCCAGGUAAGUCGACCCCUCUUUCUCUCUCUCUCUCACACACUCACUCACCCGAUCGAUCUCCUCUUUUUGUUUUUGAUUUCCCAAAAAACUUCGAGUUUUAGGGAUUUUAUACUGUUUCAAACCCUAGGUUUAAAAAAUUAGUGUUUUUCUCUUGAUUUUAUAGUGUUUCAACCCACCUAAAAGGGGCUUACAGUCUUCAAGAUCCAGCAUUGAUGUAAACGCCAGUCGGGGCAAAGUUUUCGACCAUCAUUAACAUAUUAUAACCUGAGUAGUUGUUGAUAUAUUUAGCUUGACAUCUAAUAUUAUUGAAAAAGUAUGCUAUACUGUAAGUCUUUUUAUUUUUUUAUUUUUUUAUUUAUGAAAUAGAUCUCUGCUGUUAGAGUAUGUGGUUUUGAUAUUUGUGUCUUGUGUGUGUUAGUGAAUUAAGUGAUGGGUGAGGAUUUGGUAGAGUAAUAAUUAUUCCUGUUUGUCUUUAAUGGAGUACUCAUUCCAUUGAUGAUCUUGAAAGUUUGGUAAAUGGUUAACUCAAAGGCUUUUUAUAAGUCUUCUAAUAUUGACUAUGGUAGGGCCUUCCUUAUAGAGUGAAGAUUACUUUGAACACAUUGAAAUUUGCUUAGAUGAGUUUCUUGUUUAUGUACGAUAAAUAUGUAUAGUUUUUCUGUAAGUUCUUAAGCAUUUGUAAUCACUACUGUUAAUCUCUUUUCUGAAUGAAGGCGUGUUUUGCUUUCUAGUCACAUUUCUCUUACUUCUUUCCUAUGAAGGGAAAUUAAUUGGUUGAAAAUGAAUAAUGUUGUUUCCUGCUGUAUGCAGAAUUAUGGCACUACUUUGGCACUCUUCAAAUGGACCUAAAGUUAUCACAACAAUUAUUGCCUAAGUAUGACCAUCCAUAACUUUACUCAAGACCAGUCCCUUAUUCACAUCCAUUUCAAAUAUCUUAGGUGCUUAUGCCUCAUUCACUUAUCUUAUGUUGCUAUAUAAGUAAUUGUUACUUAUCAUUUGUUGAGAUUAUUUAUUAUUUCAUUCUUUCAUACUUGUAUUUUGUAUUAGCCAUUAGGUAAUUAGUUAGUGUUAGUAAUUGUACAACUACUAUGAAUAGGACAUUAACUUUGUAUUUCUUUUUUUUUUCUAUGAGUAACAAUAAUCAGAUUAGCUCCUUCUUUCUAGAAGGUUCAUUUCUCUGUCUGCCUCUCUCUCUCUCUGGUUGUGCGAUCUGAUCUGCCAUUAGAGCUCAAACUGAGCUCACCUCUUCCUCUUCGACUAUCCCCUAACUUUCACAUGGUAUCAGAGUGGGAUAACAACCUGAAGUCUCAUCUCCUUUCGAUUUUUCAUUCUUCUACUCACAAAUUCAGGAAUUCACUCGUUUUUGGAAAUUAGGGUUCCUGUGUGGAAAUCGAUCAAUUAGUCAGUUAUUCCUAGCAAUUCAUCUUCACCGAUAACCAUUUCAUCCGAGUCAAUUCGAAUCAUGGUCGGAGAAGACGAAGCCCCAACAACCCUAGCGACGAACAAAACCCUAGAUUCAAUAAGUCCACUAUACAUGCAUCCAUCGGAAAGCGCUGGAUCUAUGCUAGUUCCGAUAGCCUUUGACGGAACUGGUUACAAAUCAUGGAGAAGAGGAAUCCUCAGAGCAAUCUCCAUGAAAAACAAAUUAGGGUUUAUUACCGGAAAAUGUAAGAAGCCAGAUUCUGAUUCGGCAGACCUUGAUCAAUGAGAGCGAUGCGAUGAUAUGUAACUUAAUUGAUCUUAAACUCACUGUCUAAGGACCUAGUGACAGUCUGCAAUACAUCAAUGAUGAUGAAGAGCUUUGGCAAGAGCUAGAAGACAUAUACGAUCAAACUAAUGGCGCCAAGUUGUAUCAACUACAAAAAGAGAUUAAUGAUCUGAGCCAAGGAAGCCUGGACAUCAUUAGAUAUUAUACAAAAAUUAAGAAGCUUUGGGAAGAACUUAAUACCCUGAAUGUUCAUGCCAAAUGUGCUUGUAAAUGCACCUGUGGAGCAAGAGAAAACAUUCAUAAAGCUGAACAAGAUAGAAGAUUAAUUCAGUUCCUAAUGGGGCUCAAUGAAGUGUAUACUAUUGUGAGAAUGAGUAUUCUGAUUAUGAACCCUCUCCCAACAAUAGUUCAAGCCUUCUAUAUUCUCAUUCAAGAGGAGAAACAAAGGGAAGUUAAGCCAAGUAAUAGUUUUUCAAUGGACUCUGCUGCCUUGAAUGUGAGUGGAUCAGGAAAUGACAACUUCAAAACUAACUACAAUCAACAGGGAAACAACAACACCUACCGUGGAUAUAAGGAAAACCAAUUUAACAGCAGAUCUAGACCAUUCUGUGACUACUGCAAGAGGCCAAGGCACACUAAGGACAAAUGCUACAAACUUCAUGGAUUCCCACAGAGUUCCAGGUUCAAUAAGGGAAGAAGAAUUGCUGGAAAUGUAUUUGGAUCACCAAAUGAAGCUGAUGCAGUAAAGGAUGAUGGAAAUAGCCCUCAAGAACAGGAACAGAGUUGAUACAUGCAUAGUCUGACUAAAGAACAAUAUGGCCAACUACUCACCAUUUUGGAAAGCUUUCAAGGAGGAGCAGAUAAAUCCACAAGCAAUUGCAUCAAUGGAGGAACUGUGAACUUUGCAGGUAUUUCAGCAUGCUCUACUCAUUUUGACUCUAGUGAUCAUUUGUGUGAUAGUUCUAGUUCAAAUGCUGACACUUGGAUCCUUGAUUCUGGAGCCACAAAUCACAUGACACAUAACAAAUCAAUCCUAACUAAUGUUAAAACCUUAGUUUACCCAUACCUAGUCACCCUACCAAAUGGCUACAAGGUUAAGGUGACACUGAUUGGUGAUGUAGUCCUAAGUCCAAAAUUCAGUCUCAAGAAGGUCCUUUUUGUUCCCAGUUUUAAAUUCAAUAUGAUAUCAGUCCAUUCUUUGACAGUUCAUCUUGAUUGUAUUGUAGUAUUCACCAAGUACAUUUGUAUUCUUCUACAGGGCCCUUCACUGAAGAGGCCACUGGAGAUUGGUAAAGCCAAGACUGGUUUGUAUCGACACAGUUCAAGAAACUACAACACUGGUUCAACCCUCUCUAAUUCUUCUAGUGCAUCCAUUCCAUGUUUUACUAAUAAUGAGAACAAUAUAGAUUCUGUAGUUAAGACAUCUAGCUCACUUCCUUCCUCUCAACUAGUUAGUACAAGUAAACUGGUUUCUACUGUUCCUAUUACUUCCAUCAUGGUUACCCCAUCUUAUAGUAGUAAUAAAAAUAGUUGACCUCCACAUUCAGAUUACUCUGUAAAUAGUUCAAGCAAUAAAAGUGAGUUGUCUUUGUCUAGUAAUUCCUUUACUAUAGAAUUUUUACCUGAUCUUUUGGAGCAUAACAGAUUAGGAAAUGUACCUUUUGUCAAAAUGAAGGGGAUUUCUUCUAUACUUGUUGCCUUUGCACCCAAACAACCUUUUCUUUGUCCUAUCUGUCCAAUGGCAAGACAAACCAGAUUGUCUUUCCCAGAAAGAACAACAUUGACUACCAAACCUUUUGAACUGUUACAUAUUGACUUGUGGGGCCCUUACCAUGUUACAACACAUAAUAAAUACAAAUACUUUAUUACCCUUGUGUAUGAUUACAGCAGGUCCACAUGGACCCACUUAUUAAGCUGUAAAAGCAAUGCUCUACACACCAUUAAGGCCUUUUUUGACAUGGUAGAGCAACAAUUCAAUACCAAUAUCAAAACUAUAAGAACAGACAAUGGUCUUGAGUUCACCAGCCAAGAGACCACCUCAUUCUUACAAUCAAAGGGCAUUAUACAUCAAAGGACAUAUCCAUACACACCUUAACAAAAUGGUGUGGUGGAAAGAAAACACAAAUAUUUGUUAGUAACAGCCACGGCUCUACUUUAUCAGUCAAAAUUACUCAUGUAGUAUUGGGGAGAAUGUAUUCUGACCUCUACCUACCUCAUAAACAGACUGCCCUCUUCAUCACUCAAAACAAAAUGUCCCUUUGAACUGUUGUACCAGAAAAAGCCAAGCUAUUCUCAUCUCAAAAGCUUUUGUUGUUUGUGAUUUCCUACUACUCUCAAAACACACAAAGAUAAGUUUGAGCCAAGAACUACUCCCUAUGUUUUUGUGGGAUAUCCCUUUGGGACAAAAGGCUAAAAGGUACUAAAUCUGGCCAUUAAGAAGAUAAAUGUUUCAAGAGAUGUAGUGUUUCAUGAGAAUGUAUUCCCAUUUGCCAUGUUCACUGAGUCAAACAAAGUCUUUCCUUCAUUUCCUCAAAUGAAAUCAUACCUGUCAAAUGAUUUGUUUUCUCCUAGUGAUAUAGGUAGUGUUCCACAUUCAGCAAAUGAUAAUGCUCACCAUGAAGUGUCACCUGGGAACCAGCCCAGGCAUGAGCCCUACUCACCCCCAUCUAAUCCUUAUAAUGAUAAUUCCAGAUCUUCUCACUCACCUUUGGGAAGCCAAACAUCAGGAAGCUUUCCUGUGGUUGACACUCUAGGAGAUACCUCUCCUGAUGCACCUCACAACCCAGCUGUUAUAAUCCAAGAUCAAGGAACUUCAAUUCCAAAUCAGAACAGACCCUCUAGAACUUUGAAAAUUCCUACCUAUCUUAAAGAUUAUGAGUGCACUCUUCCCAGACUCCAACAAACUCAUCAAAACCAACCAACUUCUCCAAAUGAUAGCCAAAGUACACAGUCUUUUUCCUGCAACACAUCUGCCCCUAAAUCUCUUGAUAACUUACCCAAUGAAACACAUUCCACUUGUUAGCAUUUGAUAGGAACUGGUCCACAUGAAUGUGAACCUAGCUCAUAUAAGGAAGCUGCUGUAAAGCCUGCCUGGCAAGCAGCAAUGAAUCAAGAAUUCCAAGCAUUGUAUGCAAAUAAAACCUGGGAUCUAGUUCCUCUUCCAAUUGGAAAGAAUGCAAUUGGGUGUAAAUGGGUAUAUAAGAUUAAACAUAAGGCAGAUGGUAGUGUAGAGAGAUUUAAAGCUAGAUUAGUAUUAAGGAGUAUACACAACAAGCUGGGAUAGAUUACACAGAAACAUUCUCACAUGUAGUAAAAAUGACAAUUGUUAGGACUUUAAUAGCAACAUCAGUCAAGAAGGGGUGGCAAGUCUUGCAGCUAGAUGUAAAUAAUGCCUUUCUUCAUGGGGAUCUCCAUGAAGAGGUGUAUAUGGAGAUACCACAGGUCUAGUUGUGAACUCACCAGGCUUAGUGUGCAAGUUGAACAAGUCCCUGUAUGGGCUCAAACAAGCAAGUAGACAAUGGUAUGAGAAAUUAACUGAAGCCUUGUGUUCAAGGGGUACACUCAUUCAAUGCUUGAUUAUUCUUUAUUCUAUAAAAAGAGUGAAGUCUCAGUAGUGUUUGUAGCUGUGUAUGUAGAUGAUGUUCUUGUUACUGGUACCCAUCUGCAAGAGAUUGAGUCCCUGAAAACCUUUCUACACAAUACCUUUAAGAUAAAGGACCUAGGGAGACUUCAUUACUUCCUAGGACUAGAAGUUCAAUACACAGAGAAAGGGGUCCUGAUAUCACAAAGAAAAUUCACUAUUGAUCUUUUGAAAGAAUUUGGAUGUAUAGAUUGUCCCUCUAUGACCUCUCCUAUGGAUCCCUUUGUGAAAUUAAAGGCUGAUGAGGGAGCUUCACUACCUGAUCCUUCUUAUUAUAGGAAGUUGAUUGGCAAACUUAACUUUCUCACCAACACCAGAUUGGAUAUUGCAUAUAGUGUACAACAUCUCAGUCAAUUCAUGCAAAGUCCCAGGGAACCCCAUUUGAAGGCAACAUACCAUAUCCUAAGAUACUUAAAAAGUGAUCCAUACUUGGGCAUCUUCCUCAACAACACUGCAGAUUAUGGAGUGAAGGCAUUCUGUGAUUCAGAUUGGGCCACCUGCUCCCAAUCAAGAAAAUUAGUUAGUGGGUACAUUGUGCUGUUUGGUACCAGUCCUAUUAGCUGGAGGUCUAAGAAGCAGUCUACUGUUUCACUAUCAUCUGCAGAAGCUGAAUAUAGGUUAGCUAGAAUGGUGGUUAGUGAACUUGUAUGGUUGGCAAGACUUCUAAAUGAACUUACUAUUCCAUUUGUCCUUGCCUAUCCCCAUCUUCUGUGAUAGCCAAGCUGCUUUACACAUAGCAAGAAACCCUGUGUUUCAUGAAUGAACAAAACAUAUCGAAGUGGAUUGUCAUUUUGUGAAAGAUCAACUACAGGAAAGACUAAUUUCUCUUCAUCAUGUUUCUACUAAUGACCAGCUAGCUGACAUCUUGACCAAGUCUUUUUAACAGGGAUCAAUCAUGCCACACUUCUUAGCAAGUUGGAUGUGAGGUCCUCCCCUCCAACUUGAGGGGGGGGGGGGGUGUUGAGAUUAUUUAUUAUUUCAUUCUUUCAUACUUGUAUUUUGUAUUAGCCAUUAGGUAAUUAGUUAGUGUUGAGUAAUUGUACAACUACUAUGAAUAGGACAUUAACUUUGUAUUUCUUUUUUUUUCCAAUGAGUUACAAUAAUCAGAUUAGCUCCUUCUUUCUAGAAGGUUCAUUUCUCUGUCUGCUUCUCUCUCUCUGAUUGUGCGAUCUGAUCCACCAUUAGAGCUCAAAUUGAGCUCACCUCUUCCUCUUCGACUAUCCCCUAACUUUCACAUCACUACUAAGUUGUUGCUUUGAGGAACUUGAGAAAUAUUUAAGUAUUAUUCAUGUUAUCCUGCUUUGUUCUCAGAUAAAUAUUCUUUUUAUAGUCUUUUUGGUUUUCACCUAAUUAGAAUUAUUAGUUUGAGAUAUAAGCGAUAUGUAUUUGUUAGAUAAGUUGUCAUUUUUCUUUACAUAUCGUGGCAGUGUCAAUGUGGUUGCAAACUUACAUUCUGUCAAAUUAUUCAUUCUUUGACUUAAGCUUUUCAUAUGAGCUUCUUUUUAUUAUGUAUACUUUCCUCAUUUGCCAAAAUACUUUAAAACCUUCUCAUUACCAGUUAUUGUUGAAGUUAGUAAAUAUCCUGAUUUGUCAAGGAGGUAAAGUGAUAUUGCUUUAUCACUUUGACUCCCUAUGACAGCUAUGACAACCUUUGUUAGAUAUGAUCAAGUUUAUAAGGUCAUUUAUUUAUAAUUUUGUUUACCGUGAAAAUGGUAACAAUAAUUAAAUUUGUAAAUGGAAUUCUAAAAAUACGUGAUCUAUUUCCGAGCUAGUUGUUAGAGUAGUUGAUGCUAAUAAUAUGGAGUUUAAAGAUUAAAUGCGAGUUGAAAUAAGGUAGCAAUUGAACCGAAGGGCCUUCAGCCCGGGUAUAGGCCGGGCCGAAAGGGGACCUCGGGGUCGAGAUCGAACUAUCGGGGGUAGUAGGGGAUGGGAUAAUAGUUGAGCAUAUAAUUAAACAAGGCUCUUUAUGGACAUUACGAAGUUAUAUGAUGAACAACAAGUAAGAAAGCGAUGAAUAUCAAGGUGAACUCGGAUAGUGAGAACGAACAAGUUUAGAAAGAAAAGAGAGAAAGAUAUUAUUGCACUUAUGGAGAAAUGGAGCAACAUCAUCCCGUUACAAGGUAGCGUGAGUCCCCUUUAUAUAGGAGGGGAACUCGCUACAAGCACAUGGGUAUUAAUUACAAAGUAUGGAGAUGGGACGGCUUGACGCGAUGCCUCAGCAUAGGCUCUGGAUAGGCCGCCCCUGUCAGACUUAGCCGUAUGCCUUGGGAGCUUCCCCUUCUGUCCUGGCUUCGAUCUCCAUCUUCUCUGAGUCGGGCCUCGACGAGCCCCGAGGUCGGGAACUCGGCCAUAGUUUCCCGUCCUCAGGGUCUCAAGGCAUUCCGAAAUGACUUGACAACGAGAAAUCAAGUCCUCUGAUUUUGCUGCGUACAGAUAGUCUCUACGUUUCCCAUAACAAAGUGAUGGGAAAUGAUUCUGAUACUUGACUCCUCGUGCUUCUUACUGCGAUGUCAUACCGAUGGUACGACUCCUAGUGUGAGUUUUAUGAUAGCUGGGCAUCCACGGGCUCAUGUAUUUUGACCUCAUUCAAUGCACUCUCGAUUCUCGCUUUCUAAGGUGAAGGUAUCGCCAUCGGUUCGAUUUUACAUGGAUGCAUUAACUGCACCCGUCGAUCAACCUUCCAAAGCCUCGACGACCGCAUCGUAACCCCCUAUAAAUAGGGGCGCUUUGGCGUUGUUUCUCCCAUCCCAGUGCCUUCGUUGGUCUGCUCGCCUAUUUCCUCUUAUCAUCUUCCUUCAUCCUUGAAUAUCACGCUUAGGGCUCAUAGCCUCAAGCCCGCUUGGCAGAGCUUCUUUAGAUCGUGUUGCAUCCCUCUGCCGGCGCUUCCCCUUGUCGAGCAUAAUUACGCUAUCCCGUUACUGCUGCGGUCAUCGACGUACUUGUCUUUGCUGCUGUUGUUGACCCGAGAUGAUGAUGGACGGGGAGUCAGUUUCCUCCUCAUGUAGAUAGUCGUUCGGAUUAGGCAUCGCUGCUCACCUUCAUGCCCCGACUCGACGUGGUUCUCUGCUCCGAGUUGGGGGCUUGCACGUCUAGACGUUCCAAUAAGUGGAUCCUAAGUAGCCGUGCAAGUGGGAUCGAGGGUUGUUCGAUCCAUUGUCUUUUCAAGGUUCCCCUGGCCAAAGAGGGUCCUCGAGCUUCGGAAAGCUAUGGCAUUUUUUUAUCCUUCCCUGUCACUCACCUUGUCCCUUGGGGAUAUCAGUGUGGAAGGUUGGGAUGAAAUUUCUGAGGAUGUGCAUCUGGAGGCACCUGUCGCGGACCUUCGAAGGCGAACCGGUCUUCGUGCCUUUACUUUGUGUGUGUGUGCCUUUGUCUCUUCUUUUAUGUGUAGAGAUCCUCCGUAGGCUUUUGUAAUAGUAUGUAAUGACCCCUCGAGAGCUGUUGUACAUGGAUCUUCAUGAAUAUGAAUAUACUCCAUUGACUUCUGCUUUCGGCCUUUGCUUUGUUAUUGCAUGCUCCUGUGCCCUUCGAGGCUUUUCGAAUGUCUUAUUUUAUUGUUGACCGCUGACAUUUAACUUGGGCGUGAGAGUUCUUUCCGAUCCUCUGCCGAUCGACAUGCCUCUCUUUCGAACCCAUCGUCGUGCCUCGGACCAAUCCUGGAUUGAUCUGAUAGGCUCGGGCUGCCGGGGACCUUCAAGUUGUUUGGAGAUAAUACGCCUAAUUUCAGGGCCUUCGAGGAUGUUAUCCUGAAUGAAGGUCAGCUUUAGGUACCUGGGGGUCCCUUUUGAUUUUGAUGUAGACAGCCCCUUUUAGAACGUAUAUGAUAGACUUCUGCUGAGGAGUUGCUUGUAUUUGGGCGCUACCUCGGACCAUCGUAGAGCUUUCAUGAUCAGAGCUUGUGUUUAUUCCUCUUUUUUUAGAAAGGGAAUCAUAAGAUUAGGUACUGCCCUGCGUCGAGUGAUGGUGUCGAAAGCUUCCCGAAAUCUGACUUCUCUUUGGCGGGGAUCGUCGGGGUAAAGCGCUGCCUCGAAAUAGGAGAUAAUACGGUCAAUUCCUUGAGUCUUGGCUUCUUGUCAGAGGAUGCUUUUGGGACCGGGUAUCACCCCAUCGAUCUGCAUCGAGGAUGUAGGUUUCUCGGGGUUCACUCCUGGUAGGCGAGUCGUCGCUGCUUCUCGCAUAUAUGUGGGGCAGCUUCGGCUUCUUCGCAAGACCUCACUAUUUUUAGAUAGCUGCUCUUCCGCUUUGGAAAAGUGUUGGCGCAUGCCCUUGCUCUGAUCUGUUAGUUUUAUUAUUGUCAUGGUAAACACUUCGGGGUCGGCCCGACAGGGAGUGCCGCUCCCGACGUUCAGGAACCGCGGGAGUUCGCUCUGAAGAUGAUGUCUUUGAUAAGAGGGGAACAUCUGGAGAUGGUAAGAAAAUACUGUGGAUGGAUCAAGGGGAUAGUGCUGCAGGUGCUUCCCCCGGAUGAGAGUAUUACAGACUCUGCUGAUUGAUUCUCGAGCGUAUACCUAUAUCCUUUCUCGUUUGGUCCCCUUGAUAGGGUUGUGCUUGAUUUUUUCUUGAAGUAUCGGGUUACUUUGGCACAGAUACACGUUUUGGCGGGUGGUGAUGACGACGAGGUUCUUUGCGAAGAAGGCUAGGCUGGAGUUCAUGCUUAACCAUCUCGUCAGGCUAUACCGACCCUUUCAUCACCAGUGCCUGCUAACCCUGAGGUGUCUUUCGUCCACGCAGUUUGUAGUUGACAACAAAGAGGAUAGGGGUUGAGAGUGGGCCGGUUGGUUUAUCCGGGUCUGGACGGUCGACAUUAUCCCCGUGGAGCUUUUGCCAUUUCUCGAAGGGUGGAAUUAUGCACGUGAGUGGAGCGUCUAGUGCUUUUUCAGAUUUUGCUUAUAGCAAAAAUCAGUUGAUUAAUAGUGUUUUUUCCCUUGUUGCAGCAACUUCAUGGACACCGGGCGAAGUCUUUGACCUGCCCGGCUGGGUCCGAAGGCUGGUGACCCAUUCGACCUGCGAUGAGCGUCGAUGGCGAGUUGUGCUUCGUAUUAUAUGAGGAGAAAAAUACCAAGGUUUGUGCGCAUGCUGCCUUUACUUUGGCCUUCAUAUAUUUGAGGUAACAUUUCCCCCUGUCAUUUAUACUGGAUUCGCCGCUUGCAAAUAUCGACGGUUCCUUGGGAUGAGGCAGUGCUCUUUCGAGGGAAAUGAGUCGUCGGCCCUCGAGCCGAGGGACGAUGGCGAUGAGAGUGAUCAGCACCCGCGAUGUGAUAGAGCUUUUAGUGGUGCUGAACGAGCUCAUGUUUUCGAGGAGAAGCCAUCGUCCGAGUCUGCUGCUCCCGAAAUAUCUGAUUCCUGGGCGGCGAUUCCUCCGAGUGAAUACACUUUGCCCGAGGUCAGUUCUUCUGGGGCUGAAGAGGCAGGAUCAACAGGUGUGUGUUCUGACUUCGAGGAAGUCCGUCGGCUUCACUUCGUGGUGAGUUUAGGUGCAUUUUUUCUAUGUUCCGUGUCCUAUUCCCUCUAUUGAACUUUUCUUGUGCAGGCUUGCGAUAGGCUUAUGUUUGAGCUGCUUCGUCAAGGGGCCAGGCUUCAGAAAUUUCUGGAUGAGGGCGAGCCCCUUAGGCUCCUAGCAAGGAGAAAGAUGUUGAGUUGCAGCAUUGGUGAUAUGAGGCGUGGUGGAGCUCGAAUUAUGAGAGCUAUUUGAUGGAGCAGGUAACUUUCUGCAACUCUUGCUUUGCUCUCUUUGGCCUUUAAGGUUAACCCCAUUUUUGUUAUAUUAGCUACAGAAAAGACGGAGGCUUUGGAGUACCUCAAGGACGACAUCGACCGCAUUUGAACUGACUAUGGUGAGCUAAAGGCUCAGGUGCAAGCUCAAGAUUUAGAGGAGACAAGCGCCUCGGCCAAGGUCCCCGCCUUCAAAGUCCAACUCCGCUUGGCUCGUGAUAAUGCCAAAGUUCAAACGGAUAUGAUCGGGAAACUCGAAUCUGACCUCUCAAAAAUUAGGGCUGAGAUAAUUGAUGCCCAGGUUGAAGCGGCACUAAGCCGAACCAAGGCUGAUCAGGAGAUGGUGAUUCGUAUGAAAGACGCUGCGGACGCUCAAGCCGAGCGGAAGCGAGCCCUCGACUGGGAGAAGAGGAUCGAGGAAUAUGUUUGUUGCAAAUCCCGAAGAGAAGUACUCGAGGAGAUCAGUGCGAGGGGCUUUGUUCUCUCAAAGAUGUUGGCUCGAGCAAGGGCGGACGAGCGUUACGCGUGGUCACUUAUUGAUGAUGAGGUGAAGAGCGAACUCAGCAAGCUAUAGCCCUUUGGAGCGGAGCAUAGAUUUCGUUGUUUUGUCACUUUGUAUUUGAUAGAUGUAGAGCAUGUAUGUAGAUGGAGAGUGUGCCCCUAUUUUUUUUUCUUUGCGUAUGUAAGAUAAGAGGAAACUUGAAGCUUUAUUUCUUCCGCAUCUCUUUUCUGUUAUUGCUUUUGACCAGGCGGGCUGGUUUCAAUGUUUGGCGGGAUCCUCGUAGGUUCAAAACUGAUCGGACAGGCCUGGGGGCUCUUAAGUGCGAUCCUUGAUGUGAGCGAGUGUUGGGGCCUCCGUACUUUGCCCUGCUGUUUAGGCUUAGUCUCCGAGUCAGGCUUUGACUCGAGCUUUCCUGCCCUUAAAUCACCUAUGCCCGUGCUAGCAUGUAGUAAUUGUUCCCAUUUCUUGCCUUUGGGCAUUUUCCCUUUCGACCAUUUUUGGGUUCAGUCUCUGAGUCGCAUUGCAAUUCAAGGUUCAAAUUGACCCUCAAGUUUUAUCCUACCUGCAUGGGCGGACGGCGAUGGCCUUUUGUGCUUCAGAUCGAAGUGACCUUACAAGUGGGUGGCCUGGAGGCUCACUCGGCUGGUGAUGGUGGCAUUUAUGCCGUGCCCUUAGGCAUAUUGUAGUUUAACCAUUUCGAGUCCAGUCUCCGAGUCGCAUUGCGAUUCGAGGUUCAAUUGACCCUCAAGUUUUAUCCUGCCUGUAUGGGCAGACGUCGAUAGCCUUUUGUGCUUCGGGUCGAAGCGACCUUACGGGCGCGUAGCCCGGAGGCUCACUCGGCUGGUUGAUAGUGGCAUUUAUACCAUGCCCUUAGGCAUGUUGUAGUUUAACUAUUUCGGGUCCAGUCUCCGAGUCGCGUAGCGACUCGAGCUUUAAUUGACCCUUAAGUUUCAAUUUCCAAGCUGGCGACAAUGGCUCUUACACUGUUUGGUCGUAGAGACCUUUUAAUAUGUGGCCCGAAGGCUUGCAUAGUUAACUAUAUUGGAUCCGGUCUCCGAAUCGGGUUACAAUUCGAGCUCAUUUUAAUCCUCAAGUUAUCGAUUUUUUAGCUGGCGACAAUGGCUCUUAUGCUGUUUGGUCGUAGAGACCUUUUAAUAUGUGGCCCGGAGGCUUUCUUAGCUGGCGACAAUGGCUCUUAUGCUAUUUUUGCCCAUGGCUUUUUUGUAGGCUUUGUUUUCCGCUCAUUAAGGUCUUUUGAAAUAGUUUUACCUAACCCAUCGUCGGUUCUAGAAGAACCUCAAUUUCAAGUCGUUAUCAGCGAUGUUUCGAGCACCUCGGAAGGUUCAUAGCUCGUUUUUGCCUAUUGAGGGAAGCCUGUUUUAAUCAGUUCUUUCUGAAGUAUAUUUGUAUUAGUGGCCUACGAUUUUGUUUAGCGACGGUCGGGCAUCCCCGAGUUGCGUUAAUUUGGCUGUAUCAGCCGUUUUGACCAUAGUCAUAUAUGUUUGAUCGAUCCAUUUUUGAUCUCGAGUGAUAGUUCAAGCAUCUACACCGAGGGUAUGCCCUUUCGGGACUCUUACAAAUGCGACGUAUAGCCUGAACUUCAGGGUUUUCAUGCCUGUUGAGGUCUUACAGUUUGUCAUGCCUGUUGAGGUCUUACAGUUUUUGUUGUAAUGUAGAAUAAAAUCUGGUUACGCCGCUGUCCGCUAGGGGUCUUACAGUUUUGGGUUUUUCCAGAGCAUGGCGAUUAAUGACAGUCUCUGAGGCACCGAGUUUGUUUAAGCUUGAAAACCGCUUCUCGUGAGCUCGGAGUUGACUUGUAGGGGCUUUAUGAGCCCGGAGUUCCGACCUUGGGGUCGUGUGGGUGCUGAAUUGUUGAUGUUGAGUCUCCGAGUAGUUCGGGCUACAUUUGGUAGAGGGGCCCCCUGUCGGUGGUAUAUUUUAAAUUUCCUUGUUUGGAGAAUAAGAUGCUGAAAAUAUAUCCUUUUAUUGCUUGGUGUAGACAUAUAUUGUUUCAUUAUUGUGAGCUCGGCUCGUACGGGCUUGGCUUCUCGGACCAUUCGAUCCGGCACAUAAUUCCCUAUCGAGACUUAUGUCCCGCCCCGAACCUAGGGAGGCGCGGUUGACACCCGGUGCCGUAGUGGCCAGAGCGAACCACUCUGUAACUCAUUCGUUCUUUUUUAUAACUAUCAUGGGCAAACAUGGCCACAACUCAUAAUAUAAAAUUGUAAGUGGAAAACACUGUAUCACUAAACCAUUUUUCUUAAAAUAUGAAUACAUAUGGCCCGUUAAGGCCUCUGACAUACUAUACAAAUAGAACCUUGGUCUACAAAGCCUCUAGGAUUAUUUGACAUAAAAUGGGAUAGGGUACCGGCCUACCCACAAGUCUGUAGAAAAAAUCUGACACGAUGACUCAUAGACUCGGCUGCACUCCGAAUGAGGUGGAGUCUUACCGAUCCUUCACUAAAUGCAAACCUUGUUUACUGUGAGGGAUCAUCAAACUGAUUGUCUAUACCUACGGGCAUGAAACCAGCGUCCCCAACAAAAGGACAUCAGUACGAAAUAAUGUACCGAGUAUGUAAGGCAAUAUACUGAAAGCUGAAACUGAACUGAUAAUAUAAUAACUGCAAGUAGCUGGAAGUCAAAAAUAAUCUGAAGAUAUGCUUACCUGCUAAUACUGACUCAACUCUCUUAAUAUAGUAAGUAAAAUAACUGUCCGACCCAAUAAGGCUCGGUAUAUAUAUAUACACUGCUCUGCCAUAGUAGGCUUGCUCAUAUGCACUCAGUCAUACUAGGCUCUGUAUCUCGACCAACUGGGCUCGCUCAUAAGUGCUCGGCCACAGUAGGCUCGGUAUAUAACUUACCAUCUGAUCAGAGGUUGCCCAAUAGGGGCCUGCCCAUUGAUUAUAGCUCGAUGGUAAUGAAAAUACUUUUAAUACUGUAUAUAUGUAACUUCUAUGCUCUCUUGACUGGAAGGAGGAAAUACUCAACUGAAUAUCAAAAUUCCGAUAAUGAGAAUAUUAUACUUACAACACUAGAAAAGUAUACGCAANNNNNNNNNNNNNNAAGAAGANCUUAGCCUUAACAUACCUGAGUCGAUUCACUUAACAAUCUCUCAUUUGUAAGCAAUGAGCGUACGGGUAACAUCAAGCGUGAUGCAGCAUAACUUUGUUAACAUAGACAUUGUAAACGGUUGGACAGCAAACUCUAACCCUGUGAUUACUAUAUCUUGUACUUCAAAAGCUUCAUGAACCAAAAGAUAUAAGCUUAAAGAGGUAUUUCACAGUCCAACCAUUGACACUUCUUUUUUACUAUGCAAAUUCCUAAAUAUAUGCCAACUUCUACUAAUAACGCAUCCAUUUCCGAAAGUAAUCUUAUUAAGACACAAAUUGUAGUGAGCGAGAAGAGCUCUUCUGAAACUAAAAUUAUACUUCAGUGUCAUUCAGUAUUUCAAUUGAAACUAAACAACAAUUGUUAAACUUACAACUAGUUAUCAUUAGAAUGUCCAGGGAAGGAUAUACUAUUGAUGAGACCCAAGACAAUAAGCACAACCUUCACCCCUAGGAAAAUGUAAUUAUCGUGCAUAUCAGAUGAGUUUAAAGUGGUGAGUUGAAGAGUAAUAAAUAUAUAUUUCAUGGUAACAAAGGUAUAAGCAUGAGGUUGUGACAUAGGUGUUACAUGUUAGCCACACGUAAGUUUUUUUUUUGGAAGGAGGGCCUGCCACGUUAAAGUUUCAUUAAUCUUAUCUAAUAAUUAACUAAUUAGGUAAUAUCCCGCUACCCGGUAAUUAACCAUAUACCCGCAUAAUUAAAAAUUAUCUCAACUUACUUAAAAUACUACUCUCUUUUAACAUACCUUGUACACCUUAAUAGCGUGGUUAUGUAGUACCUUUUAUGGCACUAGUCCAUAAAUAUCGAGUAUUAACGCUCAGCCCGUAUUUUAUCCCAAAAUAUCAAACUUUGACAAAAUUCAUUUUAUUCGAUUUUACUUACCUCUUACCUUUAUGAAUUUACUCAUCACUUAUGAUCCUUAUAAUCCCCAAAUAAUCUUUUCCUUGGACUGAUGUCAAUUACCUUAUAACAAAUUCAAUGUACAAUACUACAGGGUGCAACACUAUCGUAACUUAUUACUACGAAGCGUAACAUCUCCAUAAUGUAAUACUGCAGGACGUAACAUCAUCGUAAUAUAUUACUGCAGAGCAUAACAUUGUCAUAAUAUAAUACUGAGGGGCGUAAUAUUGACGUAUUAUUGUGGGGUGUAACAACUUAGUCUGCCGUUUCCCAGUCCACCCGAGGGGACGAUGCCCUUAGAAGAAGAUCCCCCUCGUUGUUGGACUGUAGAAGAAGGCCAGCAAUCUUAUUGGAUUCUCCUCUGGGGGUACGCUGCUCUGUUAAUAAUCUUGCUGAUGAGGCCCUCUUCGGGACGGAACUCCGAUUGAGGGGAAAAAGCGCGACGUGCCCUUUUUUAGAGCCUAUGGAUCUCCGGGUAGAGUUAGAAUCUUUGAAUAUCCUGGCCAGUUGUCUGUAAACAUGCUAGUGAAAAAAUAACAAGGGAGUAAAGCAGUUUUUCCUCAUCGCGGGAUGUGUAGGCGACAUUUUGAGAUUUGGUAUGUUCCUACUCUUUCGAGGCAUGAGCCUUGAUACAGACCCCCGCUGUGUCUUGUCAGGCUUGGUCGAAGAUGUGGUUUGCUUACCCUUUAAUACCUCCGAGGGUGGGGGCAUUGAUGCCGGCGACGCGCCAGAUGGUGAAGAAUUUCCUCUUGUCAUGUAUUGCUUUUUGUCGACUUAUUUUAGUCCUGCCCUUUGCAAGGGGUUUCAUGCUUUUGGAGAAAUACGGUCGAUGCUAUCUUUGGGUGGUGUGCCAGGGGUCAUCUGAAUAAGAUGCCCGUGCUUUGCGCGCCCUCUGAUAGUUUAGAGCUCGAAGUCCCGGCCCGAGCUCAGACGAGCUAUAUCAAGAGAAUAGUCUUUGUGGCGAUUUGUCAUUUAGAAUUCGCCAAGGAUUCGGGAUGCAGGGGUGAUUUGGUCUGUUACAUCGGACCGCCCCACUGACUUUGGUCGGACAUUGUUGUUGCAUGUGACCGAACCACUUGAAUUCAUGAACACAUGUUUUAUUCAAAAUAGAUCAAAUGAGGGAGAGGGUUACCAAUGCAUCAGUGUGAUGCUGAGGUAGAGUCUCUGUGCCCUUUUCCCUGGUUGUAAGGGCGUCCUCCGAAAUAUUUCCCUGGACCCAUUUUUUCCUGAUGACAAACAUUUUUACUUCCCAUUUUAUGAGUCCCCGGAGGGUGUCAUCGCUCCUUCAUUGUCGUGGUAAUACGUCGUGGUUUGUUCGCUUCAUCCUCCUCAAUUUCCCUCCUCCCUUGGGGCUGGACUCGAGCGAUGGUACUCGAUGGUGACUUUUAUUGAGUAGCACGACUAUCGUCCCUCUGAGCUGGUGGCCAUUUUUGACCCCGUGGACGCGUGCGCCCUACGGUCCCCAUGCCGGGUUGUGGUUCCUUUGAAAUGGUCUUGGUCGAAUAGGCCUGAGUCAUUUGGCGUCCCUGGUUUCGCUUAUGGUGAUCAUGAUAUUUGGUAUAUCAAUGCUUAAAUUGUACUCCACUAAUCGGGGUUCCUCUACCGGUUGUGCCUCGUCAGAUCCGACUCCAUUGGAGGUUCCUCGAGGACGUUUCCCUCAAACUAUUUCCCUACCGUUGCGAGGCAGGUUGCAUCUUGUGGCGUUCCUCCCAUUCGCGGCGCAUGGAUGUUACCUCCAUCUGUUUGGCACUAGUUUCUUUGCUAGGAGCCUGCUUGGGUAUACCAGGCCCGUAGAGGCUCCUCGACGGUUGUCCGUGGCCCUGAUUUGUGGCAGGUGUCGGGUACGGGCAUCCGAUCAGGUCUUGGCUGGGUAUCUGAUUAAGCUUCAUUUAAAAUGACCCGGAGUCAUUGGGCAUGCUUCGUUUAAACUUUGGGCAAAGGCCUGGGUUUCCCAGUCAUCUGAAAUCGGGAGCGAUCUCAUUUGUCCUAUCAUGGAAUGAGGCGCGACUCCCUGUGGUGUUUCAUUCUCUCUUUGUUCGGCCUCUGAUGUGUCGGGCUCUUCCGUUGCUGCUUUGAUGGCGUCGACAUGUGCUUCUUCGGAAAAAUCUGCUGGCGCGGUAAGUGGGUUCGUGAGAUCAGGCGCUAGGCUGUGGCGCCACAUCAUGGUUUCUCUUGAGAGUGUUUCCCCGAACUUUUACAAUGUAACGGGCUUGAACUCAUCAUCUUGUAGGUCCCUGUCGUUUUCCGCACACGUGUAAGUGAUGGUGCGCUCGUCGGAAUCCAAGGUCCUGACGCACCUAUGGAGUUCCGGCAUUUCGUAUUUCCGUGAAGCGGGUUCCAAAACUACUUCCCCGAGAGAUAACUGUUGCAUGAGCCUCUAUGAACUUGACUUGAUUCUCUUGGAGAGAUCCUCCAACAUCUUUGUUGUGGCGGGGCCUGUUAUUGAUCCGUUGUUAUUUGAUCUUUUGGGUACUCGUUAGGCUCAGGGAACCGUUUCCGGCGGUACUGUGCUGGGGAUCCCCGAAUGGCUCUGCAACUGAGCGAUAGCCAACUGCUGUGCCUGCAAUAUUUCGAGAAUGUUAUGAAGACUAACUUCUUGUUCUUCUCGGGCUGGGGUUUUUUGAGCUUCCUAUUGGUCGAUGUGUCGUAUGCUCCUAUUGAUGUGAGAAGUUUCGCCGACUUGCUGUGCGUUCUGUGAGUCCGCAUCCGCUAGAAUUGAUCCGGACGCAUUAUCGGGAUUCUACAGUGGUGCUCCGACGGCCGGGACAACCAAGCCAUUUUCCCCAUGAUUUUCGAGGUUGUCGUUCUCGACUCCGUUUACCGAACCAGGCAUUUUGACCUGAAAUCAAAGGAUCUUGGGCAAGAAAAAGUGUGAAAGAUAAUGUGCGCUUGUGCAAUGAAACUAGCAAGAAAAUAAUCACUAUUAUUUUUAUCCCCAUGGUGGGUGCCAAACUAUUUACCGUGAAAAUGGUACAACAAUUAAAUUUGUAAAUGGGAUUCUAAUAAUACGUGAUCAAUUCUUGAGCUAGUUGUUAGAGCAGUUGAUGCUAAUAAUAUGGAGUUUAAGAUUAAAUGCGAGUUGAAACAAGGUAGCAAUCGAACCGAAGGUCCUUCUGCCUGGGUACAGGCCGGGUCGAUGGGGGACCUCGGGGUCAAGCUCGAACUAUCAAGGGUAGUCAGGGAUGGGAUAACAGUUGAGGAUAUAAUUAAACAAGGCUCUUUAUGGCUAAUACUAAGUUAUAUGAUGAAGAACAAGUAAGAAAGCGAUGAAUAUCAAGGUGACCUUGGGCCAGUGAGACGAACAAGUUUAGAAAGAAAAGAGAGAGAAGUAUUAUUGCACUUGUGGAGAAAUGGAGCAACAUCAGCCCGUUACAAGGUAGCAUGAGUCCCCUUUAUAUAGGAGGGGAACUCGGCUACAAGCACAUGGGUAUUAAAUACAAAGUAAGGAGAUGGGACGGCUUGACGCGAUGCCUCAACGUAGGCUCUGGAUAGGUCGGCCCUGUCGACUUUGUCGUAUGCCUUGGGAGCUUCCCCUUCUGUCCUAGCUUCGAUCUCCAUCUUCUUUGAGUCGGGCCUCGACGAGCCCCGAGUUCGGGAACUCGGCCUUGGUUUCCCGUCCUCGGGGUCUUGAGGCGUUCUUCCGAAAUGACUUGAUAGCGAGAAAUCAAGUCCUCUGAUUUUGCCGCGUACAAUUUAAUAUUCAACAUUGCAAUCCAGUUUAUAAGGUCGUUUAUUUAUAUUUUGAUACUUAACAUUGGAAAAUUAUCUGCAUUGCAGUAUUUAGAAAUUCAGUUUGCAUUUUCUUUAUUUGAAUAAAAAAGAUUUGUCGCUCUAGCUUAUCUUAAUGAAUAAUGAAUUCGUGACAUCUUUACUAUCUUUGGCUUCACCAUUACAAAAUUCGAGUUCAGAGCAUUCUCGUGUAUCCACCAGCUCUAUCUUUGUAAUAUAGAAGUUCAAGAUAUUUAGAACCAUAUUUCUAUAACAAAAUAGAGAAGAAAUCUAAUGGAAAUUAUUUUCCCACCAGCCCUUUUCCCACUGAGCGUCUCCCCUGGGAAUGUCGUGGGAAUAUUCAAAUUUCCCACGGAUUUCCCACCGAUAUGUCCGUGGGAAAAGUCUGUGUUUCUAGUAGCGUUAUUCUCUGUUAAUACAAGCAAGCUUUCAUUCAAUUCUCUCGUGGAAAAUUAUGAUCUUGAUAUUGACUUUCCCGCUCGGCACUAAUGGUCUAGUCUAGCAUGUAAAGGAGGCCUUUGGUUGGCGAAAGGUAAUCACACAAAAGUUGGUCGCUUUGUCUUAUGCCACCCUUACAAGACAUCUCAGAAAGGCGCCAUGUGACUAGGAGGUUACGAGUUCGAGCCGUGGAAACUGCCUCUUGCAAAAAUAUAGGGUAAGGCUGCGUACAAUAGACCCUUGUGGUCUGGCCCUUCCCCGGAUCCCGCGCAUAGCGAGAGCUUAGUGCACCGUGCUGCCUUUUUUACAAAAUUAGUGAAAAAUUAUUGAUUAUAUAUGGGUAUCAGUUGGAUAAUUAGAUUACUUAUUGUAACUAUCAAGCCACAUUGGAUUAUGACCGGACUUUAUGAAAUAAAUAUGGGUUUUUUUCAUUCCUAUACACUAUUAGAAACUUUAUUAUCCUAAAUGUUCAUGUUUAGUUAAUUACCCGGCAUAAACAAGUUUUGUUUACAAAAAAUAUACAAUCUACUUUAAAAGACUUCCAAUCCAUUAUUUGUACCUUCAAUCAAGGGAUUUAGUUAUAUCAUUUUCUUUUUUUUCUCUCCUCUUCUCUCCGGAUUCUCUCUUGAUAUCCCUGCUUCCUCUCUGGCCGACCUUAAACUAAAAAUAUUAUGCUGACCGACCCAACAUGUAUUCCAGUAUUCGAAAUAUGAACAAUGACGCAAUCCAAUUGGCUUUUCAUCCCUCUGUUCCUGCACUUCCCACUAAAAUUUAAUCAAUUGAUUGUAAUUUAUGGAAGCCAAAUCACUACUGAGGAAUAGCUAACACACAAUCUAAAGAAUGAUAAAUCACAUAUAACACAUGUUACUACCAAACCAGUCUAGAUAUGUAUUCCACUUAUUCUCUUCGGAGCAAAAUGAGAGUAAGCUAGCUUUUUACUGGACGAACUCCAUAGUUUCAUAAAGUAUGUUGACACAAUCUCAUUAUAUGCUUAGUAUGUUUUGUUUGGACAAUACAUGAUGUUAGGCUAGAAACCCGUGUUUUAGCCAUAGUAUUACAUUCCAAUUACUGCAGUUUUACAUAUGUUUGAGCUCAAAUGAUAGUGAAUUACACUUAGUAUAUGUUUUAUACCUUGCAGGAAGUGAUCAUGAGCUCAAAAGUUAAUUUGGAGCUAAAUUGAUCAAUCCAGAGCUUUGAAAUCUGAGUAAAAGCCCAAUAUAUUAAGCAGGGAUCGUGUUCGGAGGUCGUGUACCAAGUCUGGAUGUUAAAAGAGGACAAAACAAGUUCACUCUAAGGAAAUUACAC
rnacentral:lncRNA from 1 species